rnacentral:rRNA from 1 species
GACGAACGCUGGCGGCGUGCUUAACACAUGCAAGUCGAACGGUAAGGCCCUUCGGGGUACACAAGUGGCGAACGGGUGAGUAACACGUGGGUGAUCUGCCCUGCACUUCGGGAUAAGCCUGGGAAACUGGGUCUAAUACCGGAUAGGACGACUGCCUGCAUGGGUGGUGGGGGAAAGCUUUUGCGGUGUGGGAUGGGCCCGCGGCCUAUCAGGUUGUUGGGGGGGUGAUGGCCUACCAAGGCGACGAAGGGUAGCCGGCCUGAGAGGGUGACCGGCCCCACUGGGACUGAGAUACGGCCCAGACUCCUACGGGAGGCAGCAGUGGGGAAUAUUGCACAAUGGGCGCAAGCCUGAUGCAGCGACGCCGCGUGAGGGAUGACGGCCUUCGGGUUGUAAACCUCUUUCAGCACCGACGAAGCGCAAGUGACGGUAGGUGCAGAAGAAGGACCGGCCAACUACGUGCCAGCCGCCGCCGUAA